AUGGCCAGAUCAGAGUCGGUUCGAAUCCCUGAUUUAAAUGCCUUCGAACCUGUAAGCAGCAAGCCAUAUAUAAUCUGUCAGCUUGUUUAAGCUAUAAACUAUUGAAGAAAUAUAUUUUUUUUUGGAUUUUCUAUUUUCUAUUGGCAUAAAAUGGAAUUGGAUUGGCUGAUUAUCUUGAUUUUGGGUUUUGCUGCUGGUUUUGUAAUUGGAAGGAACUAUUAGCGGCAAUCUAAGCAUAAUCUAUAUAAACCGGAUGAUACAGUAUUGGAAAGUUUGGCUUUGAGCUGUUAAUACUAUCCAAAGCGAAUAAUCCCGAAAAUUCAGCCAUGACUCACGUAAUAUCAUUUGCACUGGGCAUAGUAACGGGCUUGUUAUUGUGCAAAAGGCGUUGCGGACCUUAACAAACGUGGUAUGAUUCUGAUCACAAAGUCAUUGCAAAAUUAUCUGCUAUACCAAAAUUAAUCGAAAAAUGCUUCUUUACCUAUUAAGAGUCGGACCUUCAUGACCAAUUCUCCGGAAUUUAUCUCAGUUGUCAAUGAAGCAUUUCCUACUGACGCCAUACAUGCAGACCGCAGAGCAAUAAAUUCGAAUAUAUAUUUUAUAAUGUUGUAGAAUUAUUUUGCCAUACUCAAAUAUCUUAUAAAGAUAUGUUAAAUAAAUAAUUUGUCAUCACA